GACGAACGCUGGCGGCGUGCUUAACACAUGCAAGUCGAACGAGUGGCGAACGGGUGAGUAACACGUGGGUGACCUGCCCUGCACUUCGGGAUAAGCCUGGGAAACUGGGUCUAAUACCGGAUAGUGUGGGAUGGGCCCGCGGCCUAUCAGCUUGUUGGUGGGGUAAUGGCUACCAAGGCGCGACGGGUAGCCGGCCUGAGAGGGUGGACGGCCCCAUUGGGACUGAGACACGGCCCAGACUCCUACGGGAGGCAGCGGUGGGGAAUCUUCCGCAAUGGACGAAAGUCUGACGGAGCAACGCCGCGUGAGUGAUGACGGCCUUCGGGUUGUAAAGCUCUGUUAAUCGGGACGCGGUACCGGAAUAGAAAGCCACGGCUAACUACGUGCCAGCCGCCGCGGUAAUAC
rnacentral:rRNA from 1 species